rnacentral:lncRNA from 1 species
UUUAAAUGAAGUGGAUUUGAAUACUCUUGACUGUUUUGUAAAAUCGAGUUACGUCUGUGACUGAAGGAUUAAAGGGGUGUCUAUAGGAUUGAGUAUGCGGAGUGAAUAAAAUUUAUUGGGUUCAUCUAACAGGACAGUCAGUGGAUACAAGAUCGUGAGUACAAAGGGGUAUUGAAGAUUAACAGUUUGGGUUGUUCGGGGUUCUCUGUAACGUCUAGAGACCUAUCGGCUGGAAAA